rnacentral:misc_RNA from 1 species
GAUGAAGAACGCAGCGAAAUGCGAUAAGUAGUGUGAAUUGCAGAAUUCAGUGAAUCAUCGAAUCUUUGAACGCACAUUGCGCCCCUUGGUAUUCCAUGGGGCAUGCCUGUUCGAGCGUCAUUUGUACCUUCAAGCUUUGCUUGGUGUUGGGUGUUUGUCCCUCGGGACUCGCCUUAAAGUCAUUGGCAGCCAGUGUUUUGGUUUUGAAGCGCAGCACAAGUCGCGAUUCAAGGCUAUCCGCCCGCUUCCACAAGCCUUUUUCACUUUUGACCUCGGAUCAGGUAUGGAUACCCGCUGAACUUAAGCAUAUCAAUAAGCGGAGGA